rnacentral:lncRNA from 1 species
GUCAAAUCAGAUUGCAGCUGCUAGUCUAUACCACAGCCACAGCAACACUUGAUACAAGUCAUAUCUUCAACUUAUGGUGGAGCUUGUGGCAAUGUGAGAUCCUUAAUCUACUGAGCGAGGCCAGGGGUUGAACCCGAAUCCUCAGGAACAAAAAGUCGGGUUCUUAACUCACUGAGCCACAAUGGGAACUCCUUGAACAGGUCUUGAUAUGCAUUGGACUGUCAUUAACCAUGACCUAUAGCCCACUGUGUAAAGAACAAACACUGCAUUUUAAUAAGUACUUCAAAGGAUAUAUUACUAAAUCUCAUGUCACACAACCAAAUUUUACUUUGACCUUUUCUUAAACACAGUUUUGAAAGAUGAGGUGAUGCAUCCUAAUCAUUUUCAAGCACCCCUAAUCCGGCCAUUAAUCAAAAUGAUAUCAUUUAAACCAGCCCUUAUUUUGAAAGCCAGUGCAGAUAAAGCACCACAGAGCUGGCUUGAAGUCUUUGGGAAAAAAUGAUGCAUUGUAAUUCUGUCAGUGAUCCUGGUACCUUUUGAAAACGAUUUGCUAAAAGUGUAAAGAUGUGGGAGAGUUGGCAAUAAUUAUAGUAAGUAGACAGCAAUUUGGUACCUACUUAAAGAAGCUGAAAUGGAAUUUCUAAGCGUGAGAAAGUAUCUGCUUUGGUAAAAGUGGAGACAUAGGGAAUUUCUGUCAUGAACUAACAGUAAAAUUGUCAAUUGAACAGAACAGCCUCCUGCAAAGUAAAUGGCAUGUGGAGCUGUGACAAAUAUAUAAAAGCAUGUAAGAGGGGACAUCACCAUGUCAUGGAUUGUUGCUCUCAGAGGCAGGAAAACUGGACCAGAAGUAAGAGGAGCUUCAAGAAUUGCCAUUCUCAGGAGUUCCUGUUGUGGCUCAGCAGGUUAAGAACCAGAUGUAGUGUCUGUGAGGAUUUGGCUUGAUCCCUGGCCUUGCUCACUGGGCUAAGGAACUGGCAUUGCAACAAGCUGCAUUGUAGGUUGCAGAUGCGGCUCAGAUCCUGUGUUGUUGUGGCUGUAGUGUAGACUGCAGCUGCUGCUCUGCUUCAGCUCCUAUCCCAGGAACUUCUGUACGCCAUGGGUGCAGCCACAAAGAGAAAACAAACAAAAAAGAAUUGCCAAAUUGCUAGUCUCAGCUGCAAGUGUUCUGUGCUGAACCCUCUAUGGGGUAUUAGAGCUAAGGAUUAGGUACCCACUGUCCAAAGUCUCAGGGUGUAUGGGAAUCAAACCUCUUUAGGAACCAGAAGAUGAUCCCAGGAAAUUACUGCUGGUGGAGAUUCAAGGAGAGAGAAGCCAGCUUUUGUGAUGGGUACAGACCCACCCAGGAAAAUCACUGCAUCUCAGAAAUGACGGCACUGGAGAGUGAGGAAGGAUAUUUGUAGGUUAAGGGGGAAAACUCAAGUGUCUCACAAGUAAAAAACCCCAAAGAUGAGGAGUUCCUGUUGUGUGUCACAAGAUCUGACUUCUCUGCAGUGGCUGGGGUUCCAUCCCUGGCCUGAUGGCUCAGUAGGUUAGAGGAUCCGGCAUUGCUGUGAUGCAGCCAAAAACAAAAACAAAACCAAAACAAAAACCCAAAGCUGAAAUUCAAUGUGUAAAAAAAUCAACCAUUAUAAUCACAUGGAUGUUUUCUUUUUAAUCACAGCUUUAUUACGACUUCCAACUUUGUAAUUGAUGUUUAUACCAAAACAUUUUCCUAAUUGACUGCCAAAAGAACACAUUUGCUGAACUGCUUUAUUAAAGCAUUGUGAAAUUGUUUGAUAUCAUCUGCCAAUUAAAGGAUUUCUAAAAAGAGCAUCCUACUUCAUUUUUGGUAUUUGAUUCAAACUAUAAUAACCAUGUCUUUUUUAUAAAAGGUUUGGAUUGUUUUAGUGACAGUAAUUUAAACAUUUGAAAAUAAUGCAUAUCCUGGCGCAGGAUAUUCAAAGUACAUGAAUCAUUACAUUUAAAAAAAUGAAUAUGUAUGCUCAGAGAAUGAUACAAGUGUAAUAAAUCCAUUUAAAGGAUGAUGUUUAGCCAUUGCCUUCUGCUUCAUUUCUGCCCUGCUUGGCUUAGGUAUUUAUGAAACAAUAAUGGGCAGACCCCAUGACACUCUUUAGGGCCCCAGGAAACCACCUCAGGAAAGGAAUCUUAAUGCCCUAAAGGCAUCAGUCCUUUCAAUUAAACAUCUAUUUGCAAAUGAAUUCUGGAGAAGCACGUAUCACCACUAAACCAGCUUUGGGUAAAAUGGAUGUUAGAAAACAAUUCAGUUGUGGACUGGCAUUUUACAGUACCUUUGAACAGUUUUAUUAAAAUAUCUAAUAGCCAGUUUUUCCAAAAUAGUAUCCUAUCAAUAUGAGCCAGAGACGAUCUCUGGCAGCAGUAUCAGAAAAGAUAGAACUUGAGAGUCUGGUGAUUUUAGAUUUUGUGCAAAAAAAAAAUAAUAAUAAGAAAAAUGGAAUUUUAAAUUUCUGAAACACAUGGCUCCACUGCCCAAGUCCAAGUACAGCAAAGCGGUUCAGCUUCAAGUUCAGACGGUAAAAGCAUUCGGAGGCUCCCUAUCUUCAAUUUGUAAUGUGCAGAGAGUAGAGAGUCAUUUAGUGGGAAAGUGCUGCCUUUGUUUGUGUUUUAACUUGUUUUUUGGGUUUUUUUUUUUCCCCCGAAAAUGAGGUUACAUCAACAGUGUAAGAUUAUUUUUUCUCACCACAAUCCAGAGUUUAGAACUGCCUAGUGUUAUUCCUUUCACUUCAUUGAUGAUGAAAGGCUCAGAGAAGUUAAGGGUUUUGCUUACAUCACCCAUCUGACCAAUGGCCUUGGCACAAAACUCCGAAAACUUUUGAGUCCAAAUCUCAAGUCCACCUGUGCCACCACAUGGCCAUAUUAUGAACUGGGUUCCAUAAACCUGCCUCUUUCAUGAAAGUCAGUGGAUUCCUUUGAGUCAAUAACAAGCCUGAAUUGUGAAUGUGCCUGAAUGUCACAAUCCACACUUUCUAAGUCCAAGUAUAACCAAUGUCUUCUUAUCCUGACAGCUACAUUCAAGAUACUCUGUCUCCUCUCAAAUAAAUGACUCCCCGGAUUAGAAAGGCUCAUGACCAAGGACUCAAGGUUACUAGUUCUUCUCUGCAGCAAAGCCAAGCUGCCCUCAUCAAUUUCUAUUGGUGCAGUAAGCCUAUUUAUAUUACCAGUAUAAAACACACCCACGACAAAACGGGAGAUGAAUCAGUUGCUGCUGUAACAAAUUUCCCAAAAGUCAGUGGUGUAUAUCAACACCAGUUUAUUCCCCUAGAGUUCUGGAAGUCAGAAGUCUGACAGGGGUCUCACUAGGCUAAAGUCAAGGUGUCAGCAAGCUACGUUCCUUUACCUUGGCUCUAGGGGACAGUGUAUCUUUGGUGGUUCUAGCUUCUAGAGGUUGCCUGCAUUUCUUAGGUCAUGCCUCUUCCCCUGUGUUUCAAGCCAGCAGCGCCCCAUCUCUAUAGCUGGACCCGUCCUCGCAUCUCUGAUUCUCCACAUCUGUCUCACUCUUCCACUUUUAAAGACCCUUGUGGGGUCUACUGGGCUCAGCUGGAGAAUCCAAGAUACUGUCCUGAUUUUGACAUCAGCUGAUUAGCAACCAUAAUCCCAUCUGCAAGCUUAAUUCCCCUUUUGUAUAUAAAGUAACUUAGUCACAUGUACUGGGAAUUGGGACAUGGGUGUUUUGGGUGGCCAUUACUCUGCCUACCCAGGAGGGAACUAAAACUUGAUAUAUCAUCUCACUUUGCUAGAUGGUGAUGGAGGGCUGCUCAUUUGAUCUGGGGCUUCAACCCUGCUCUGCCCUCCAAUAUGUAGGAUGCUGGCACAAGGCAGGACCAAUCAUGGCAUCCAUUCCCUGGGCCACCAUCUGGAAAGAUAGGCAUGGGACCCAUGCUGGGUCACUCAGUGUCCUUCUCUGGGAUUUUCUGACCUGAAGCUAAUAGGAAUGACCCCAUCUCCUCACCCCCUCUCCCCCUACUCCCAAAAAUUCUGUUACUAUUUGAACAAAGGGCUUUAUAGAGUCAUGCUUUCUUUAGGUUAGAAAAAUCUUUGCAGCACAGAGAAUGAAACCAAUUUGUAGAGAUGAGGAAAGGGAAAAAAGACAAGAGAGUGAAAUAAGAACAAUUUCUAGCGAUUUUUAAGUGCUGGAAUCUGAGAGUGUUAUCAAGGCAGGUCAUCUCCAUGUAGUACAGCCUUAUGAGGCAAGAACUUACCCAGUUUUGCUUAAGCAGGCUUAGGUUAAGCUUGCCUCCUUUGCAACCAGAGUCCUGAGAAAUCCAGACAGAAUGCCAAGAUUAUUUCUUGAGGAAUAUCAAGGUUCCUAGAAAAAUCUGAAGAAAUGCUGGAGUGAGGCAUGAAGGCAAAACAGGUCUCCAUCAGGGAUUCCAGUGAGCUUCUAAAAGCAGGAUAGGCACGAAAAUCCUUCUCACUCAUAAUCCCGCAGAAAAGAUUAGGCUAAGGAAGCAAAUACUACUUUGCACCUUAGAAGUCAAGGUCAGAGGCAAA